AUGCACAAUGUCAUAAACAAAACAAUGUAUGCACUAAAUAAGAGAUGCUGGCUGCAUGUAGAAACAACCUAUAAUUCUUAUCAAUCAUGCUUUUCAGGAUUGUUGUGUUGCGUGGUUCGAGCUGCAGUGUAUGGCAUUAUUGGUGUGACAGUGUGGUUGUUUCUCAGUGCACGACAAUUGCUCCAUGGGAAUUACUACGGCGAAGUACUGGCACAGUUUGCCGUUGAGCAGAGUGCACGGACGCAUCCGUCGCAUUCUCAAGGAUGUGGAUUCUCGACGACCUCGUGGAGUUCGGCAGAGCGUUCUCAAGGGUUUCGGCCAAGAUGA
rnacentral:rRNA from 1 species